rnacentral:rRNA from 1 species
UACGUAGGGUCCGAGCGUUGUUCGGAUUCAUUGGGCGUAAAGGGUGCGUAGGCGGCGCGGUAGGUCGGGUGUGAAAUCUCGGAGCUUAACUCCGAAACUGCAUUCGAUACUGCCGUGCUUGAGGACUGGAGAGGAGACUGGAAUUUACGGUGUAGCGGUGAAAUGCGUAGAUAUCGUAAGGAAGACCAGUGGCGAAGGCGGGUCUCUGGACAGUUCCUGACGCUGAGGCACGAAGGUCAGGGGAGCAAACGGG